UACAGAGGGUGCAAGCGUUAUUCGGAGUUAUUGGGCGUAAAGAGCGCGUAGGUGGCUCGAUAAGUUUGAUGUGAAAUCCCUGGACUCAAUCCAGGAAGUGCAUUGAAUACUGUCGGGCUUGAGUACAGGAGAGGUAGGCGGAAUUCCAGGUGUAGAGGUGAAAUUCGUAGAUAUCUGGAGGAACAACAGUGGCGAAGGCGGCCUGCUGGACUGUAACUGACACUGAGGCGCGAAAGCGUGGGGAGCAAACAGG
rnacentral:rRNA from 1 species